UUAUACUUUAUUUGACAGUACAAAACAAAAUCAUACAGUCAGAAACACCACAAGGCACAGUACAGCAGCACAGGCAUACAACUCGGGACAGAAUUAACCCUUCUGUGUGUUACAUGUACCAUAAGAGGAGGAAAUGGGUCAUUCUUCACCCAUUCGGGUUAGGCUUCUAAAUUAAGCUAAAGAGCUUGUUAAGAAAAACAACAUUAUCAUGGAAAUUCUAUGUAAUUAUCAUUAAGAUCUUUAAGGCUAAUAAAUAUAUUUAUGUAUAUAUUACACUUGUUGAUCUUGUAAUUCAAUAUUUUACAGUACAAUACAAUACAAGUCCUUCUACAUUACAUUUACUUACACAGAUAUUUAAUUUAAAUUACUUUUUUUUUUUUAACAUUACACACUAUUCAUUUGCAGUCUGAUAAAAAGCAGCGAUUUUAAACAGUUGAAAUACAGAACAGGAUUCUGUAAUCAGUGAAAUUAAAGCUUUAUGCUUUCUGGAAAAAAUGUGACGGCAUGACUUGAAACAGAGACAAACAAAAUCUAGUGGCACUAAUUUGUUACAGCUGUUUGUAUGUGGAUUAUGAGGACAAUUCUUAGGAAAAUGUUUUAUUUGAGGAAGAAAUAUUGUAAUUUCACUGUUCUUUGGUUGACUAAACCAGCAGUGUGGCUGAGUUCCCAAAUGGUCAAGGUGAGAAUCAUUGUGAGGACUCCUUUUACUUACCAUUAAAAAGACUGUAUUCUCUUGAGAGAUGCAAGAUUGCAUGUACAAAAAAAUCUGUUUUCUAAGCUUCAAGUAUAUGCAUUGACCAACGUAUAGUGGCUUGGAUCCAUCAAAUGCUGACAGCCAACAAUGCUGGCUCUUGAUUUAGGAUGGCACUGUGAAGAAUCACUGAAAGAAGAGCCAAGAUUGACUGAGGAUUCAUCUAAUUGGCUGAAUUUUGUUCAUGAUAGAUGGUGAAAGACAGCUGCUGCAUCCAAAAAUCACUUCAUCUUUUUUUAAUGUGAUAUUCCUUAAGGGUUAGACAUUAAAAAUCUUACUACUAAGUAUGUGGGAUAUCCAUUAUGUCAAUUAGACGCUACCCUGCAAAAAAAAAUGCUCUGAAUACGCUGCCAACCCAUAAUUACUAACUAUGAACAUUACUAUGUUUAAGAGAUGUGGACAAACAUGUCUCUUGCAUUCAGCACUGUUUCAUGUGCAGUCUAGUCAUAUCUGAACUUGGUCACUUCAUUAGGUUAUCCUUACACAUAAUUAAUUAGGUAAUUAGGUUUUUACACAAGCAUGCCUGAUGCUGGAACACUGUAUGAAUGUAUUUCUUAAUUUUUCUGCUUCAAGCAUUGCUCUUCAAGGGAUCUACAGACA